rnacentral:rRNA from 1 species
UUUCCGUAGGUGAACCUGCGGAAGGAUCAUUAUCAAAAAGAAUUCAUUUUUUUGAAAUCCUUUUCCACGUUCCUUGUGUAUCUAUUCCAUGUUGCUUCCACUUGACAGGUAUAUAUAUUGUGAAAAAGUCUUUCUUUUUUUGAAUCCUUUUCAACAGUAUUUACUUACCCUCCAAACCUUAUUGUUUAGUUACUAUAGGGCUUGGAGAAAUGUCGGUGGGUAGCCUUAAUUAUAAGAAAAACCUUUUAUAUAUAGUAGUCUGAUAAUAGUUACUUUUGAAAAUAAAGAAAAAAACUUUCAACAACGGAUCUCUAGGCUCUUGCAUCGAUGAAGAACGCAGUGAAAUGUGAUAAGUAAUGUGAAUUGCAGAAUCUCGUGAAUCAUCGAAUCUUUGAACGCACAUUGCGCCCAAUGGUAUUCCAUUGGGCAUACCUGUUUGAGUAUCAGAAUCCUUUUAAUUAUCAAACUUUUAUGUAUAGAGAUGUAUGUAAAGAUGUUUGGAUAUAAAACUUGAGAAAAGUAGGUAUUAUUUAUAAUACUACUUUCUUAAAAACCAGAAAUAUUAUGUUUUGAUUUUUCUUCAAUCUCAUUUUGUAUAUUAUUUAACAAAUGAGUACGAGUAAAAAUAAUCAAUACUUUGGAUGACCUCAAUCCGGUA